rnacentral:snoRNA from 1 species
CUUUAUGAUGAUCGUUUCACUACAUCUGUCCCGGUGAACCCUGAGCCAUGGAUAAAACAUGCAUCACCAUCUGACU